GACGAACCGUGCGAACGUUAUUCGGAAUCACUGGGCUUAAAGCGCGUGUAGGCGGGAGGGCACGUCCGUUGCUGAAAUCCCCCGGCUCAACCGGGGAACGGGCGCGGAUACGACCUUCCUGGAGGGGCGUAGGGGGACCUGGAACUUCCGGUGGAGUGGUGAAAUGCGUUGAGAUCGGAAGGAACGCCCGUGGCGAAAGCGAGGUCCUGGACGCCUACUGACGCUGAGACGCGAAAGCCAGGGGAGACGAACGGG
rnacentral:rRNA from 1 species